UCGAGAAUCUUCCGCAAUGGGCGCAAGCCUGACGGAGCGAUGUCGCGUGAUUGAUGAAGUCUUUCGAGAUGUAAAGGUCUUUUAUGAGGGAGAAAGUUAUUGAUAGUACCUCAUGAAUAAGGGGUUGCUAAACUCGUGCCAGCAGCAGCGGUAAUACGAGUGCCCCAAGCGUUAUCCGGAAUUAUUGGGCGUAAAGGGUGUGUAGGUGGUUCUGUUAGUCGAGUGUCAAAGACCCGGGCUUAACCUGGGGAGGGCAUUCGAAACGGCAGACCUAGAGGAUGCGAGAGGUGUGUAGAACUCAUAGUGUAGGGGUGAAAUCCGUUGAUAUUAUGGGGAAUACCAAAAGCGAAGGCAGCACACUGGCGCACUCCUGACACUGAAACACGAAAGCGUGGGUAGC
rnacentral:rRNA from 1 species